rnacentral:rRNA from 1 species
GACGAACGCUGGCGGCGUGCUUAACACAUGCAAGUCGAACGGAAAGGCCCUGCUUUUGUGGGGUGCUCGAUUGGCGAACGGGUGAGUAACACGUGAGUAACCUGCCCUUGACUUUGGGAUAACUUCAGGAAACUGGGGCUAAUACCGGAUAGGAGCUCCUGCUGCAUGGUGGGGGUUGGAUAGUUUCGGCGGUUGGGGAUGGACUCGCGGCUUAUCAGCUUGUUGGUGGGGUAGUGGCUUACCAAGGCUUUGACGGGUAGCCGGCCUGAGAGGGUGACCGGCCACAUUGGGACUGAGAUACGGCCCAGACUCCUACGGGAGGCAGCAGUGGGGAAUAUUGCACAAUGGGCGGAAGCCUGAUGCAGCAACGCCGCGUGCGGGAUGACGGCCUUCGGGUUGUAAACCGCUUUCGCCUGUGACGAAGCGUGAGUGACGGUAAUGGGUAAAGAAGCACCGGCUAACUACGUG